rnacentral:tRNA from 1 species
GAGACAGUAGUAUAAGGUUUUGAUUAUGUUCUUUUUUCGCAAGAGAGAUUUUUUUGUCUUG